rnacentral:rRNA from 1 species
UGGGGAAUUUUGGACAAUGGGGGCAACCCUGAUCCAGCAAUGCCGCGUGUGUGAAGAAGGCCUUCGGGUUGUAAAGCACUUUUGUCCGGAAAGAAAACGCCGUGGUUUAAUACCCGUGGCGGAUGACGGUACCGGAAGAAUAAGCACCGGCUAACUACGUGCCAGCAGCCGCGGUAAUACGUAGGGUGCAAGCGUUAAUCGGAAUUACUGGGCGUAAAGCGUGCGCAGGCGGUCCGCUAAGACAGAUGUGAAAGUCCCCGGGCUUAACCUGGGAACUGCAUUUGUGACUGGCGGGCUAGAGUAUGGCAGAGGGGGGUAGAAUUCCACGUGUAGCAGUGAAAUGCGUAGAGAUGUGGAGGAAUACCGAUGGCGAGGCAGGCCCCUGGGCCAAUACUACGCUCAGUGCACGAAAGCGUGGGGGAGCAAACAGGAUUC